UUCCGGUUGAUCCCGCCGGACCCGACUGCUAUCAGAGUGGGACUAAGCCAUGCGAGUCAACGUAGCAAUACGUGGCAUACGGCUCAGUAACACGUAGUCAACAUGCCCAGGGGACGAGGAUAACCUCGGGAAACUGAGGAUAAACCUCGAUAGGCCAUGAUUUCUGAAAUGAUUCUUGGCUCAAACCUAUAUGGCCCCUGGAUUGGACUGCGGCCGAUCAGGCUGUUGGUGAGGUAAUGGCCCACCAAACCUAUUACCGGUACGGGCUCUGAGAGGAGGAGCCCGGAGAUGGGCACUGAGACAAGGGCCCAGGCCCUAUGGGGCGCAGCAGGCGCGAAACCUCUGCAAUAGGCGAAAGCUUGACAGGGUUACUCUGAGUGAUUUCCGCUAAGGGAAUCUUUUGGCACCUCUAAAAAUGGUGCAGAAUAAGGGGUGGGCAAGUCUGGUGUCAGCCGCCGCGGUAAUACCAGCACCCCGAGUGGUCGGGACGAUUAUUGGGCCUAAAGCAUCCGUAGCCGGUCCUGCAAGUCUUCCGUUAAAUCCAGCUGCUCAACAGAUGGGCUGCGGGAGAUACUACAGGGCUAGGAGGCGGGAGAGGCAAGCGGUACUUUAUGGGUAGGGGUAAAAUCCGCUGAUCCAUAGAAGACCACCAGUGGCGAAGGCGGCUUGCCAGAACGCGCUCGACGGUGAGGGAUGAAAGCUGGGGGAGCAAACCGGAUUAGAUACCCGGGUAGUCCCAGCUGUAAACGAUGCAGACUCGGUGAUGGGUUGGCCUCGCGCCUGCCCAGUGCCGCAGGGAAGCCGUUAAGUCUGCCGCCUGGGGAGUACGGUCGCAAGACUGAAACUUAAAGGAAUGGGCGGGGGAGCA
rnacentral:rRNA from 1 species